rnacentral:rRNA from 1 species
CUUGAACGCUGGCGGCAGGCCUAACACAUGCAAGUCGAGCGGAUGAAGGGAGCUUGCUCCUGGAUUCAGCGGCGGACGGGUGAGUAAUGCCUAGGAAUCUGCCUGGUAGUGGGGGAUAACGUCCGGAAACGGGCGCUAAUACCGCAUACGUCCUGAGGGAGAAAGUGGGGGAUCUUCGGACCUCACGCUAUCAGAUGAGCCUAGGUCGGAUUAGCUAGUUGGUGGGGUAAAGGCCUACCAAGGCGACGAUCCGUAACUGGUCUGAGAGGAUGAUCAGUCACACUGGAACUGAGACACGGUCCAGACUCCUACGGGAGGCAGCAGUGGGGAAUAUUGGACAAUGGGCGAAAGCCUGAUCCAGCCAUGCCGCGUGUGUGAAGAAGGUCUUCGGAUUGUAAAGCACUUUAAGUUGGGAGGAAGGGCAGUAAGUUAAUACCUUGCUGUUUUGACGUUACCAACAGAAUAAGCACCGGCUAACUUCGUG